rnacentral:misc_RNA from 1 species
GAUGAAGAACGCAGCGAAAUGCGAUAACUAAUGUGAAUUGCAGAAUUCAGUGAAUCAUCGAGUCUUUGAACGCACAUUGCGCCCCCUGGUAUUCCGGGGGGCAUGCCUGUCCGAGCGUCAUUGCUGCCCUCAAGCACGGCUUGUGUGUUGGGCUCCGUCCCCCCGGGGACGGGCCCGAAAGGCAGCGGCGGCACCGAGUCCGGUCCUCGAGCGUAUGGGGCUUUGUCACCCGCUCUGUAGGCCCGGCCGGCGCCAGCCGACAACCCAUCAUCCUUUUCAGGUUGACCUCGGAUCUGGUAGGGAUACCCGCUGAACUUAAGCAUAUCAAUAAGCGGAGGA